CUUUAGGCUUCCCUAGAAGCCACCACAAACAAAAAAUAAAAAUAAA
rfam:Eimeria mitis, Houghton, WGS project CBTT01000000 data, contig: Emh_contig3498_2